ACGGGAACUGACUUCAGCCGAACGCUGCGCCCUGACAUGCUGUUCCAAGUGAAAUCACCCUACAGGAAAUCAAAUGGAAAAAUAUGAAGCAUCAUACGGUUGACAUCCUGCUCCCUUUGACAUCAGUGGAAAAAUUAUUAAUGUCUCCACUAGGAAGAGAGGUUGUGGACCGUCAACUGGAAAACAAGACACUUGGGAUCGGUGCUUUGUACAGCAAGCAGCCCCUAGGAUGCUGGCAGACUGGUAUUCCUCACAGGGCAGGCAGAAUGCACAGCACCAGCAGAAAUAUUUAAUGUAAUGAGACAGCACGGGCCUGUGCCCAGUGGAAAAUAAGGCUUCUGUCUUAAGAAAACAGUCACGAAGAAUAUGUUUUCUGUGGAAAAGCUGAUGGCUUGGUGAAGAAGUUCAAAGAAGUCUGCAGCUAAGGAAGAUGUUUUCACUCAAAAACCCGCUGGUGUUUCUCAAGGGAGCUGCAAUUCCAGUGCUUUGCAUGCUCUGCUACCUUUCCCGCCCUGAGCAGGGUUCUCAUGACAGACCCCUUUCCUCAACUCAGAUGACAGCACUGUACUGCCAGAGAUGAAUGAUGAAUGUCCCUUACAGCUCAUCACAUAAUACCUGGGAUAUCAAUAACAUGCAGUAUAGCAUCCAGGAGACUCGACAGCGCUAUUUUAAACAAAAAUGCUCUCUAUCUUUGUAUUUUCAAAGCAAUCAAAAAAUGCUUUGCCAGUCUUUCUUGGAUUCCUUUGAGCCCCAAAAGUAAACUGGGCAUUCACAGCCAAGCAGGUGAGAUGCACUAAGCUCUGGUGACACGCUUCAUUCAAAAAGAAAAGUAAGUACCAGAAGUACAACAACCUAACUUAGCUUUAUGCUUGAUGUGUUCCUAAGAUCUGUGAAAACACAGCAGUAACAAGGCGCAUAUGCAAACAAGGCACUUAUAAUUAUAUCUGAACCGUCUGGUCCGGCAGCCACAAAGCAGCCCAUAUGCUCCAGAGACUGUCUGCAUGUAUCCCACAGGCUCUAAAAUGCAAAA